AACGAACGCUGGCGGCAUGCCUAACACAUGCAAGUCGAACGAGACCUUCGGGUCUAGUGGCGCACGGGUGCGUAACGCGUGGGAACCUGCCUUUAGGUUCGGAAUAACUCAGAGAAAUUUGAGCUAAUACCGGAUGAUGUCUUCGGACCAAAGAUUUAUCGCCUUUAGAUGGGCCCGCGUUGGAUUAGCUAGUUGGUGGGGUAAAGGCCUACCAAGGCGACGAUCCAUAGCUGGUCUGAGAGGAUGAUCAGCCACACUGGGACUGAGACACGGCCCAGACUCCUACGGGAGGCAGCAGUGGGGAAUAUUGGACAAUGGGCGAAAGUCUGAUCCAGCAAUGCCGCGUGAGUGAUGAAGGCCUUAGGGUUGUAAAGCUCUUUUACCCGAGAUGAUAAUGACAGUAUCGGGAGAAUAAGCGCCGGCUAACUCCGUG
rnacentral:rRNA from 1 species